rnacentral:sRNA from 1 species
GCCAGGAGUGGUGGCACAUGCCUUUAAUCCCAGCACUUGGGAGGCAGAGGCAGGUGAAUCUUUAUGAGUUCAAGGCCAGCCUGGUCUACAUGGUGAGUUCCAGAACAGCUGGGGCUACAGGGAGACCCUGUCUCAAAAAGACCAAAAAAAAAAAAAAUUGAGACAGGGUCUCCCUAGCCCUAGCUGGCUUGGAACUUGCUAUGUAGACCAGUCUGACCUUGAUCCCACAGAGAUCCUCCUGCCUCU